UACAGAGGGGGCAAGCGUUGUUCGGAAUUACUGGGCGUAAAGGGCGCGUAGGCGGCCUUCUAAGUCGAACGUGAAAUCCCCGGGCUCAACCCGGGAACUGCGUCCGAUACUGGAAGGCUUGAAUCCGGGAGAGGGAUGCGGAAUUCCAGGUGUAGCGGUGAAAUGCGUAGAUAUCUGGAGGAAUACCGGUGGCGAAGGCGGGUCUCUGGGCCGAUACUGACGCUGAGGAGCGAAAGCGUGGGGAGCGAACAGG
rnacentral:rRNA from 1 species